UACAGAGACCUCAAGCGUUAUCCGGAUUUAUUGGGCGUAAAGCGUAGGUAGGCGGGUAUGUUAGUCGGAUGUCAAAGCUCGGGGCUCAACCCCGAAAAGGCAUUCGAAACGGCAUAUCUGGAGAAUGUGAGAGAUCAGUGGAAUUGAUGGUGUAGUAGUGAAAUGCGUUGAUAUCAUCAAGAACACCCAAGGCGAAGGCAACUGAUUGGCACAUUUCUGACGCUGAGCUACGAAAGCGUGGGUAGCGAAUGGG
rnacentral:rRNA from 1 species